rnacentral:rRNA from 1 species
ACUCUAAGCGGUGGAUCACUCGGCUCAUGGGUCGAUGAAGAACGCAGCAAACUGUGCGUCAUCGUGUGAACUGCAGGACACAUGAACAUCGACAUUUUGAACGCAUAUCGCAGUCCAUGCUGUUAUGUACUUUAAUUAAUUUUAUAGUGCUGCUUGGACUACAUAUGGUUGAGGGUUGUAAGACUAUGCUAAUUAAGUUGCUUAUAAAUUUUUAUAAGCAUAUGGUAUAUUAUUGGAUAAAUAUAAUAAUUUUUAUUCAUAAUAUUAAAAAAUAAAUGAAAAACAUUAUCUCACAUUUGAAUGUGAAAAACGAAGAGAAAUAUUUUCUUUUUCAAUCAAAUAAUACUGAGAAAUGUCUAGCAUAAAAAAUUGAAAUAUUUUUCAUCUAGAAUUGUCUCUUAUUAAUGAUUCGGAAAUAGAAAAAUCUUGGUUAUGUUAUUAUUCUUCGUUGGUUCGUUAAAAAUGGAUAAAUAAAAACUUUGCAUACAAGAAUUAAUAAAAAUGUUAUAACGAAUUUAAUUAAAUGUUUUAUCAUUAUAUAUAAAGAAUUUAUGGCAAGAUAAAGUUAUAUACAACCUCAACUCAUAUGGGACUACCCCCUGAAUUUAAGCAUAUUAAUUAGGGGAGGAAAAGAAACUAACAAGGAUUUUCUUAGUAGCGGCGAGCGAAAAGAAAACAGUUCAGCACUAAGUCACUUUGUCUAUAUGGCAAAUGUGAGAUGCAGUGUAUGGAGCGUCAAUAUUCUAGUAUGAGAAAUUAACGAUUUAAGUCCUUCUUAAAUGAGGCCAUUUACCCAUAGAGGGUGCCAGGCCCGUAUAACGUUAAUGAUUACUAGAUGAUGUUUCCAAAGAGUCGUGUUGCUUGAUAGUGCAGCACUAAGUGGGUGGUAAACUCCAUCUAAAACUAAAUAUAACCAUGAGACCGAUAGUAAACAAGUACCGUGAGGGAAAGUUGAAAAGAACUCUGAAUAGAGAGUUAAACAGUACGUGAAACUGCUUAGAGGUUAAGCCCGAUGAACCUGAAUAUCCGUUAUGGAAAAUUCAUCAUUAAAAUUGUAAUAUUUAAAUAAUAUUAUGAGAAUAGUGUGCAUUUUUUCCAUAUAAGGACAUUGUAAUCUAUUAGCAUAUACCAAAUUUAUCAUAAAAUAUAACUUAUAGUUUAUUCCAAUUAAAUUGCUUGCAUUUUAACACAGAAUAAAUGUUAUUAAUUUGAUAAAGUGCUGAUAGAUUUAUAUGAUUACAGUGCGUUAAUUUUUCGGAAUUAUAUAAUGGCAUAAUUAUCAUUGAUUUUUGUGUUUAUUAUAUGCACUUGUAUGAUUAACAAUGCGAAAGAUUCAGGAUACCUUCGGGACCCGUCUUGAAACACGGACCAAGGAGUCUAACAUAUGUGCAAGUUAUUGGGAUAUAAACCUAAUAGCGUAAUUAACUUGACUAAUAAUGGGAUUAGUUUUUUAGCUAUUUAUAGCUAAUUAACACAAUCCCGGGGCGUUCUAUAUAGUUAUGUAUAAUGUAUAUUUAUAUUAUUUAUGCCUCUAACUGGAACGUACCUUGAGCAUAUAUGCUGUGACCCGAAAGAUGGUGAACUAUACUUGAUCAGGUUGAAGUCAGGGGAAACCCUGAUGGAAGACCGAAACAGUUCUGACGUGCAAAUCGAUUGUCAGAAUUGAGUAUAGGGGCGAAAGACCAAUCGAACCAUCUAGUAGCUGGUUCCUUCCGAAGUUUCCCUCAGGAUAGCUGGUGCAUUUUAAUAUUAUAUAAAAUAAUCUUAUCUGGUAAAGCGAAUGAUUAGAGGCCUUAGGGUCGAAACGAUCUUAACCUAUUCUCAAACUUUAAAUGGGUAAGAACCUUAACUUUCUUGAUAUGAAGUUCAAGGUUAUGAUAUAAUGUGCCCAGUGGGCCACUUUUGGUAAGCAGAACUGGCGCUGUGGGAUGAACCAAACGUAAUGUUACGGUGCCCAAAUUAACAACUCAUGCAGAUACCAUGAAAGGCGUUGGUUGCUUAAAACAGCAGGACGGUGAUCAUGGAAGUCGAAAUCCGCUAAGGAGUGUGUAACAACUCACCUGCCGAAGCAACUAGCCCUUAAAAUGGAUGGCGCUUAAGUUGUAUACCUAUACAUUACCGCUAAAGUAGAUGAUUUAUAUUACUUGUGAUAUAAAUUUUGAAACUUUAGUGAGUAGGAAGGUACAAUGGUAUGCGUAGAAGUGUUUGGCGUAAGCCUGCAUGGAGCUGCCAUUGGUACAGAUCUUGGUGGUAGUAGCAAAUAAUCGAAUGAGACCUUGGAGGACUGAAGUGGAGAAGGGUUUCGUGUGAACAGUGGUUGAUCACGAGUUAGUCGGUCCUAAGUUCAAGGCGAAAGCCGAAAAUUUUCAAGUAAAACAAAAAUGCCUAACUAUAUAAACAAAGCGAAUUAUAAUACACUUGAAUAAUUUUGAACGAAAGGGAAUACGGUUCCAAUUCCGUAACCUGUUGAGUAUCCGUUUGUUAUUAAAUAUGGGCCUCGUGCUCAUCCUGGCAACAGGAACGACCAUAAAGAAGCCGUCGAGAGAUAUCGGAAGAGUUUUCUUUUCUGUUUUAUAGCCGUACUACCAUGGAAGUCUUUCGCAGAGAGAUAUGGUAGAUGGGCUAGAAGAGCAUGACAUAUACUGUUGUGUCGAUAUUUUCUCCUCGGACCUUGAAAAUUUAUGGUGGGGACACGCAAACUUCUCAACAGGCCGUACCAAUAUCCGCAGCUGGUCUCCAAGGUGAAGAGUCUCUAGUCGAUAGAAUAAUGUAGGUAAGGGAAGUCGGCAAAUUAGAUCCGUAACUUCGGGAUAAGGAUUGGCUCUGAAGAUUGAGAUAGUCGGGCUUGAUUGGGAAACAAUAACAUGGUUUAUGUGCUCGUUCUGGGUAAAUAGAGUUUCUAGCAUUUAUGUUAGUUACUUGUUCCCCGGAUAGUUUAGUUACGUAGCCAAUUGUGGAACUUUCUUGCUAAAAUUUUUAAGAAUACUAUUUGGGUUAAACCAAUUAGUUCUUAUUAAUUAUAACGAUUAUCAAUUAACAAUCAAUUCAGAACUGGCACGGACUUGGGGAAUCCGACUGUCUAAUUAAAACAAAGCAUUGUGAUGGCCCUAGCGGGUGUUGACACAAUGUGAUUUCUGCCCAGUGCUCUGAAUGUCAAAGUGAAGAAAUUCAAGUAAGCGCGGGUCAACGGCGGGAGUAACUAUGACUCUCUUAAGGUAGCCAAAUGCCUCGUCAUCUAAUUAGUGACGCGCAUGAAUGGAUUAACGAGAUUCCUACUGUCCCUAUG